rnacentral:rRNA from 1 species
UACGUAGGGUGCAAGCGUUAAUCGGAAUUACUGGGCGUAAAGCGUGCGCAGGCGGCUUUGCAAGACAGAUGUGAAAUCCCCGGGCUCAACCUGGGAACUGCAUUUGUGACUGCAUGGCUGGAAUGCGGCAGAGGGGGAUGGAAUUCCGCGUGUAGCAGUGAAAUGCGUAGAUAUGCGGAGGAACACCGAUGGCGAAGGCAAUCCCCUGGGCCUGCAUUGACGCUCAUGCACGAAAGCGUGGGGAGCAAACAGG